rnacentral:rRNA from 1 species
GACGAACGCUGGCGGCGUGCUUAACACAUGCAAGUCGAACGGAAAGGCCCUGCUUUUGUGGGGUGCUCGAGUGGCGAACGGGUGAGUAACACGUGAGUAACCUGCCCUUGACUUUGGGAUAACUUCAGGAAACUGGGGCUAAUACCGGAUAGGAGCUCCUGCUGCAUGGGGGGGGUUGGAAAGUUUCGGCGGUUGGGGAUGGACUCGCGGCUUAUCAGCUUGUUGGUGGGGUAGUGGCUUACCAAGGCUUUGACGGGUAGCCGGCCUGAGAGGGUGACCGGCCACAUUGAGACUGAGAUACGGCCCAGACUCCUACGGGAGGCAGCAGUGGGGAAUAGUGCACAAUGGGCGGAAGCCUGAUGCAGCAACGCCGCGUGCGGGAUGACGGCCUUCGGGUUGUAAACCGCUUUCGCCUGUGACGAAGCGUGAGUGACGGUAAUGGGUAAAGAAGCACCGGCUAACUACGUG